rnacentral:pre_miRNA from 1 species
AUAGUACUCCCUCCGUUCGGAAUUACUUGUCGUACAAAUGGAUGUAUCUAGACGUAUUUUAGUUCUAGAUACAUCCAUUUUCGAGACAAGUAAUUCCGAACGGAGGGAGUACAUG